GCCUCUGUAGUGCAGUAGUAGUAGCACGCGUCUCCGGCAUGGAUGAAACGCGGGUUCGACUCCCGGCUGAGGCC